rnacentral:tRNA from 1 species
AGAGUUUGAUCCUGGCUCAGGAUGAACGCUGGCGGCGUGCCUAAUACAUGCAAGUCGAGCGAACGGACGAGAAGCUUGCUUCUCUGAUGUUAGCGGCGGACGGGUGAGUAACACGUGGAUAACCUACCUAUAAGACUGGGAUAACUUCGGGAAACCGGAGCUAAUACCGGAUNUUUCUAAGAAGUUCGUAAAAAAUCCAAUGGAUAUCGUCAGUGUUGGUGAUAUCGUUGACGUUUGGAUUUACAGUAUUGACAAAAAUAAAGACAAAGUAUCAUUAACGAUGAUUGAUCCACAUGAAUAAUGACAAACUUCAGCGAAUGGUUGAGAAUCUUUCGGAAGAAAAAUUUGGACGUACGUUUCGACAUUGUGCAUAUUUUAAUAAAAGGUUACGUACAACAGGCGGACGUUAUCUUUUAAAGUCCCAUGAUAUUGAAAUUAAUCCAAAACAAUAUGAGCAUUAUGGAGAAGAUGCUGUUGUAAAAAUUAUACUGCACGAAUUGUGUCAUUAUCACUUGCAUAUUGCUGGUAAAGGUUAUCAACAUAAAGAUCAAGAUUUUAAACGAUUGAGCCAACAGGUUGGAGCGCCUAGAUUUUGUAACAGCAUUGAAAGCUAUCAACAACGGGCAAAUUAUGAAUAUUAUUGCACUAAAUGUCAUGCAAAAUAUAUACGUAUCCGUAAAGUUGAUACGAAUCGUAUGCGUUGCGGACAUUGCAAUGGAAAAUUAAGAAUGAAAAGACAAUUGAAAUAAGUACAAUACAAAUAGAGCUAAUUCGUGUAUAUGUAAGAUUAUUUAUGAGUUGUAUGGAAUUUAUAUAGAAUUUAUCAGUGAGUUAUUUUGAUUGGUAAACAUAGUAAUUGAAUAAGAAGAAAUUGUGUUUAUAAAAUGUUUAAAGCCGAGAUUGUCGUAAUUUAAUACUUCGCAAUCUCGGCUUUUCUACUUAUGAUAUAGGUAAUGGCAUAAAUUGUGGCUUGAUAGGAUGAAAUUAAAAUGAUUAGAUUAAAAAUCUUGGCGUAUUUUAGUAAUAAUUAAUAUAUAAACUUUACCCAAUUAAAGCUUUAAAGUAGCACAAAAGAUAAUUAUACAUUUUUCAUGACAUUUUGAUUGAACUUUUCUAUUGACUGUACAGCUUAUAGUUAGUAUGAUUAAACACGUUCCUUAAAAAAGAACAAAUUAAAUAAACUUUGAUUUGAAAGACAGUCAAUUCUAAAUUUAAUUUAUAAAAUAUGUUGACAAUAAGUUCUAAAUGUUUUAUUAUAAAUAGCGUUGUGUUAACAACUGAUAACACAAAUUAAUUUAAUGUAAAAAAACGAUUAAAAGUUAUUGACAAAUAUUUUUAAACAUAAUAUAAUAAAUAACGUUCUGAAAAACGAAGAUGUUUUAAAUGCCUAUAUCCGCGGUCGUGGCGGAAUGGCAGACGCGCUAGGUUGAGGGCCUAGUGGGAGAAAUCCCGUGGAGGUUCAAGUCCUCUCGGCCGCAUCAAAAUUCUUAAUUUAAAUAAGCGGGUGUAGUUUAAUGGCAAAACCUCAGCCUUCCAAGCUGAUGUUGUGGGUUCGAUUCCCAUCACCCGCUCCAUAGAUAAUUUUAAUGAACAUUGAAAACUGAAUGACAAUAUGUCAACGUUAAUUCCAAAAACGUAACUAUAAGUUACAAACAUUAUUUAGUAUUUAUGAGCUAAUCAAACAUCAUAAUUUUUAUGGAGAGUUUGAUCCUGGCUCAGGAUGAACGCUGGCGGCGUGCCUAAUACAUGCAAGUCGAGCGAACGGACGAGAAGCUUGCUUCUCUGAUGUUAGCGGCGGACGGGUGAGUAACACGUGGAUAACCUACCUAUAAGACUGGGAUAACUUCGGGAAACCGGAGCUAAUACCGGAUAAUAUUUUGAACCGCAUGGUUCAAAAGUGAAAGACGGUCUUGCUGUCACUUAUAGAUGGAUCCGCGCUGCAUUAGCUAGUUGGUAAGGUAACGGCUUACCAAGGCAACGAUGCAUAGCCGACCUGAGAGGGUGAUCGGCCACACUGGAACUGAGACACGGUCCAGACUCCUACGGGAGGCAGCAGUAGGGAAUCUUCCGCAAUGGGCGAAAGCCUGACGGAGCAACGCCGCGUGAGUGAUGAAGGUCUUCGGAUCGUAAAACUCUGUUAUUAGGGAAGAACAUAUGUGUAAGUAACUGUGCACAUCUUGACGGUACCUAAUCAGAAAGCCACGGCUAACUACGUGCCAGCAGCCGCGGUAAUACGUAGGUGGCAAGCGUUAUCCGGAAUUAUUGGGCGUAAAGCGCGCGUAGGCGGUUUUUUAAGUCUGAUGUGAAAGCCCACGGCUCAACCGUGGAGGGUCAUUGGAAACUGGAAAACUUGAGUGCAGAAGAGGAAAGUGGAAUUCCAUGUGUAGCGGUGAAAUGCGCAGAGAUAUGGAGGAACACCAGUGGCGAAGGCGACUUUCUGGUCUGUAACUGACGCUGAUGUGCGAAAGCGUGGGGAUCAAACAGGAUUAGAUACCCUGGUAGUCCACGCCGUAAACGAUGAGUGCUAAGUGUUAGGGGGUUUCCGCCCCUUAGUGCUGCAGCCAACGCAUUAAGCACUCCGCCUGGGGAGUACGACCGCAAGGUUGAAACUCAAAGGAAUUGACGGGGACCCGCACAAGCGGUGGAGCAUGUGGUUUAAUUCGAAGCAACGCGAAGAACCUUACCAAAUCUUGACAUCCUUUGACAACUCUAGAGAUAGAGCCUUCCCCUUCGGGGGACAAAGUGACAGGUGGUGCAUGGUUGUCGUCAGCUCGUGUCGUGAGAUGUUGGGUUAAGUCCCGCAACGAGCGCAACCCUUAAGCUUAGUUGCCAUCAUUAAGUUGGGCACUCUAAGUUGACUGCCGGUGACAAACCGGAGGAAGGUGGGGAUGACGUCAAAUCAUCAUGCCCCUUAUGAUUUGGGCUACACACGUGCUACAAUGGACAAUACAAAGGGCAGCGAAACCGCGAGGUCAAGCAAAUCCCAUAAAGUUGUUCUCAGUUCGGAUUGUAGUCUGCAACUCGACUACAUGAAGCUGGAAUCGCUAGUAAUCGUAGAUCAGCAUGCUACGGUGAAUACGUUCCCGGGUCUUGUACACACCGCCCGUCACACCACGAGAGUUUGUAACACCCGAAGCCGGUGGAGUAACCUUUUAGGAGCUAGCCGUCGAAGGUGGGACAAAUGAUUGGGGUGAAGUCGUAACAAGGUAGCCGUAUCGGAAGGUGCGGCUGGAUCACCU